GAUGAACGCUGGCGGCGUGCCUAAUACAUGCAAGUCGAGCGAACAGACGAGGAGCUUGCUCCUUUGACGUUAGCGGCGGACGGGUGAGUAACACGUAGGUAACCUACCUAUAAGACUGGGAUAACUUCGGGAAACCGGAGCUAAUACCGGAUAAUAUUUCGAACCGCAUGGUUCGAUAGUAAAAGAUGGCUUUGCUAUCACUUAUAGAUGGACCUGCGCCGUAUUAGCUAGUUGGUAAGGUAACGGCUUACCAAGGCAACGAUACGUAGCCGACCUGAGAGGGUGAUCGGCCACACUGGAACUGAGACACGGUCCAGACUCCUACGGGAGGCAGCAGUAGGGAAUCUUCCGCAAUGGGCGAAAGCCUGACGGAGCAACGCCGCGUGAGUGAUGAAGGUCUUCGGAUCGUAAAACUCUGUUAUUAGGGAAGAACAAACGUGUAAGUAACUGUGCACGUCUUGACGGUACCUAAUCAGAAAGCCACGGCUAACUACGU
rnacentral:rRNA from 1 species